CCUACGGGAGGCAGCAGUCGAGAAUCAUUCACAAUGGGGGAAACCCUGAUGGUGCGACGCCGCGUGGGGGAAUGAAGGUCUUCGGAUUGUAAACCCCUGUCAUGUGGGAGCAAAUUAAAAAGAUAGUACCACAAGAGGAAGAGACGGCUAACUCUGUGCCAGCAGCCGCGGUAAUACAGAGGUCUCAAGCGUGGUUCGGAAUCACUGGGCGUAAAGCGUGCGUAGGCUGUUUCGUAAGUCGUGUGUGAAAGGCGCGGGCUCAACCCGCGGACGGCACAUGAUACUGCGAGACUAGAGUAAUGGAGGGGGAACCGGAAUUCUCGGUGUAGCAGUGAAAUGCGGAGAUAUCGAGAGGAACACUCGUGGCGAAGGCGGGUUCCUGGACAUUAACUGACGCUGAGGCACGAAGGCCAGGGGAGCGAAAGGGAUUAGAUACCCUAGUAGUC
rnacentral:rRNA from 1 species